rnacentral:rRNA from 2 species
GAGAGCUUGCUCUCAAGAAGUUAGCGGCGGACGGGUGAGUAACACGUGGGUAACCUGCCCAUAAGACUGGGAUAACUCCGGGAAACCGGGGCUAAUACCGGAUAACAUUUUGAACUGCAUGGUUCGAAAUUGAAAGGCGGCUUCGGCUGUCACUUAUGGAUGGACCCGCGUCGCAUUAGCUAGUUGGUGAGGUAACGGCUCACCAAGGCAACGAUGCGUAGCCGACCUGAGAGGGUGAUCGGCCACACUGGGACUGAGACACGGCCCAGACUCCUACGGGAGGCAGCAGUAGGGAAUCUUCCGCAAUGGACGAAAGUCUGACGGAGCAACGCCGCGUGAGUGAUGAAGGCUUUCGGGUCGUA